UACAGAGGGGGCAAGCGUUAUUCGGAAUUAUUGGGCGUAAAGGGCGCGUAGGUGGCUUGAUAAGUCAAAGGUGAAAUCCCUCGGCUCAACCGAGGAACUGCCUUUGAAACUGUCAGGCUUGAGGCCGGGAGAGGGUAGCGGAAUUCCCAGUGUAGCGGUGAAAUGCGUAGAUAUUGGGAGGAACACCGGUGGCGAAGGCGGCUACCUGGACCGGUUCUGACACUGAGGCGCGAAAGCGUGGGGAUCAAACAGGAUUAGAAACCCCUGUAGU
rnacentral:rRNA from 1 species